UAACCAAUCAAAAUACCUUCCCCACCGUGU
rnacentral:piRNA from 1 species